AUCUUUCACAGCCAUGUUGAGGUUUCCUGUGUAUGUAAUGUUGAGGCCAAGGGCCCAGGUCUGACAGAAUCGUUGCAGGAGGUUGAGGUGCUGCUGCAGACCUUCUUUAGUAGGUGAGAGUAACACUAAGUCAUCUGCAUACAUCUGCUUUAUCUCAGUACCCUUUUUCCAGAGAAUAGCUCUCCAGAGAAUCCAGAGAAUAGAUUUCCAGAGAAUCAUAUCUGACUGCAAACAAAGUCCCAGUCAA